UACGUAGGGGGCAAGCGUUGUCCGGAAUCAUUGGGCGUAAAGAGCGUGUAGGCGGCCCGGUAAGUCCGCUGUGAAAGUCCAGGGCUCAACCCUGGGAUGCCGGUGGAUACUGUCGGGCUCGAGUCCGGAAGAGGAGUGUGGAAUUCCUGGUGUAGCGGUGAAAUGCGCAGAUAUCAGGAGGAACACCGGUGGUGAAGGCGGGUCUCUGGGCAACAACUGACGCUGAGGAGCGAAAGCGUGGGGAGCGAACAGG
rnacentral:rRNA from 1 species